CGGGUGUGUCGGCUGCAGCCAGGCGGCAGUUCUGGGGCCUUUUAGAAAAUCUCACACCACUUCCUAGUUGGAGCAAUUAAACAAUAGAGAAGAUGGGUAUUCUGGAGCAGAAUUUAAUGAAACAGAACUCCACCAUCUAUGGCAAGUUUGACUGCUUGAGUCUCCAGAGGAUAAUAGUUGGAGGCCACUGAGGCCCAAAUUCAUCAGUCCGGCCAUUGAAGGACACAAGUGAACAAAG
rnacentral:lncRNA from 1 species